UACGAAGGGGGCUAGCGUUGCUCGGAAUCACUGGGCGUAAAGGGUGCGUAGGCGGGUCUUUAAGUCAGGGGUGAAAUCCUGGAGCUCAACUCCAGAACUGCCUUUGAUACUGAAGAUCUUGAGUCCGGGAGAGGUGAGUGGAACUGCGAGUGUAGAGGUGAAAUUCGUAGAUAUUCGCAAGAACACCAGUGGCGAAGGCGGCUCACUGGCCCGGUACUGACGCUGAGGAGCGAAAGCGUGGGGAGCGAACAGG
rnacentral:rRNA from 1 species